rnacentral:rRNA from 1 species
GACGAACGCUGGCGGCGUGCCUAAUACAUGCAAGUUGAGCGCUGAAGGUUGGUACUUGUACCAACUGGAUGAGCAGCGAACGGGUGAGUAACGCGUGGGGAAUCUGCCUUUGAGCGGGGGACAACAUUUGGAAACGAAUGCUAAUACCGCAUAAAAACUUUAAACACAAGUUUUAAGUUUGAAAGAUGCAAUUGCAUCACUCAAAGAUGAUCCCGCGUUGUAUUAGCUAGUUGGUGAGGUAAAGGCUCACCAAGGCGAUGAUACAUAGCCGACCUGAGAGGGUGAUCGGCCAAAUUGGGACUGAGACACGGCCCAAACUCCUACGGGAGGCAGCAGUAGGGAAUCUUCGGCAAUGGACGAAAGUCUGACCGAGCAAUGCCGCGUGAGUGAAGAAGGUUUUCGGAUCGUAAAACUCUGUUGGUAGAGAAGAACGUUGGUGAGAGUGGAAAGCUCAUCAAGUGACGGUAACUACCCAGAAAGGGACGGCUAACUACGUG